GACGAACGCUGGCGGCGUGCCUAACACAUGCAAGUCGAACGGGGUUACACGAGGGUGCUUGCACCAUGUGGAACCUAGUGGCGGACGGGUGAGUAACGCGUGAGCAACCUACCUUUCAGAGGGGGAUAACAACGGGAAACCGUUGCUAAUACCGCAUAAUACCGGAUGAUGGCAUCAUUGACCGGUCAAAGGAGCAAUCCGCUGAAAGAUGGGCUCGCGUCCCAUUAGGUAGUUGGUGGGGUAAAGGCCUACCAAGCCGACGAUGGGUAGCCGGACUGAGAGGUUGAUCGGCCACAUUGGAACUGAGACACGGUCCAAACUCCUACGGGAGGCAGCAGUGGGGAAUAUUGGGCAAUGGGGGAAACCCUGACCCAGCAACGCCGCGUGGAGGAAGAAGGUCUUCGGAUUGUAAACUCCUGUCCUUAGGGAAGAAACAAAUGACGGUACCUGAGGAGGAAGCUCCGGCUAA
rnacentral:rRNA from 1 species